ACUCCUACGGGAGGCAGCAGUGAGGAAUAUUGGUCAAUGGAGGCAACUCUGAACCAGCCAUGCCGCGUGCAGGAAGACAGCCUUAUGGGUUGUAAACUGUCUUUUUUAUGGGAAGAAACCCCUGGACGUGUCCGGGGCUGACGGUACCAUAAGAAUAAGGACCGGCUAACUCCGUGCCAGCAGCCGCGGUAAUACGGAGGGUCCAAGCGUUAUCCGGAUUCAUUGGGUUUAAAGGGUGCGUAGCGGGGACUUAAGUCAGUGGUGAAAGCCUGCAGCUUAACUGUAGAAUUGCCAUUGAAACUGAGACUCUUGAGUAUAGAUGGAGUGGCGGAAUACGGCAUGUAGCGGUGAAAUGCAUAGAUAUGCCGUAG
rnacentral:rRNA from 1 species